GAUGAACGCUGGCGGCGUGCCUAAUACAUGCAAGUCGAGCGAACAGACGAUGAGCUUGCUCCUCUGACGUUAGCGGCGGACGGGUGAGUAACACGUGGAUAACCUACCUAUAAUACUGGGAUAACUUCGGAAAACCGGAGCUAAUACCGGAUAAUAUAUUGAAGCACAUGGGUCAAUGGUAAAAGACGGUUGUUCUGUCACUUAUAGCGGGAUCCGCGCCGCAUUAGCUAGUUGGGAAGGUAACGGCUUACCACGGCAACGAUGCGUGGACGACCUGAGGGGCUGAUAGGCCGCAUUGGAACGGGGACACCGUCAAGACUCCUACGGGAGGGACCAGUAGGGAAUCUUACGCAAUGGGCGAGAACUUGACGCAGUGACCGCGAGUGAGUGACGAAGGCCUCCCGAUCGUAAAACUCUCUUAUUAGGGAAGAACAACUGUCUAAGUAACUAUGCACGUAUUGACGGUAACUAAUAAGAAAGCAACGGCUAACUACGUG
rnacentral:rRNA from 1 species